UUAUACAGCGAAACUGCGAAUGGCUCAUUAUAUAAGUUAUCGUUUAUUUGAUAGUACCUUACUACUUGGAUAACCGUGGUAAUUCUAGAGCUAAUACAUGCUAAAAAUCCCGACUUCGGAAGGGAUGUAUUUAUUAGAUUAAAAACCAAUGCCCUUCGGGGCUCUCUGGUGAUUCAUGAUAACUCUUCGAAUCGCAUGGCCUUGUGCCGGCGAUGGUUCAUUCAAAUUUCUUCCCUAUCAACUUUCGAUGUUUGGGUAUUGGCCAAACAUGGUUGCAACGGGUAACGGAGGGUUAGGGCUCGACCCCGGAGAAGGAGCCUGAGAAACGGCUACUACAUCCAAGGAAGGCAGCAGGCGCGCAAAUUACCCAAUCCCGACACGGGGAGGUAGUGACAAUAAAUACUGAUACAGGGCUCUUUCGGGUCUUGUAAUUGGAAUGAGUACAAUUUAAAUCCCUUAACGAGGAACAAUUGGAGGGCAAGUCUGGUGCCAGCAGCCGCGGUAAUUCCAGCUCCAAUAGCGUAUAUUAAAGUUGUUGUGGUUAAAAAGCUCGUAGUUGAACCUUGGGCCUGGCUGGCCGGUCCGCCUCACCGCGUGUACUGGUCCGGCCGGGCCUUUCCCUCUGUGGAACCCCAUGCCCUUCACUGGGUGUGGCGGGGAAACAGGACUUUUACUUUGAAAAAAUUAGAGUGCUCCAGGCAGGCCUAUGCUCGAAUACAUUAGCAUGGAAUAAUAGAAUAGGACGUGUGGUUCUAUUUUGUUGGUUUCUAGGACCGCCGUAAUGAUUAAUAGGGACAGUCGGGGGCAUCAGUAUUCAAUUGUCAGAGGUGAAAUUCUUGGAUUUAUUGAAGACUAACUACUGCGAAAGCAUUUGCCAAGGAUGUUUUCAUUAAUCAGGAACGAAAGUUAGGGGAUCGAAGACGAUCAGAUACCGUCGUAGUCUUAACCAUAAACUAUGCCGACUAGGGAUCGGACGAUGUUAUUUUUUGACUCGUUCGGCACCUUACGAGAAAUCAAAGUGCUUGGG
rnacentral:rRNA from 1 species